AUUGAACGCUGGCGGCAGGCUUAACACAUGCAAGUCGAGCGGAGAUGAGGUGCUUGCACCUUAUCUUAGCGGCGGACGGGUGAGUAAUGCUUAGGAAUCUGCCUAUCAGUGGGGGACAACAUUCCGAAAGGAAUGCUAAUACCGCAUACGUCCUACGGGAGAAAGCAGGGGAUCUUCGGACCUUGCGCUAAAUGAUGAGCCUAAGUCGGAUUAGCUAGUUGGUGGGGUAAAGGCCUACCAAGGCGACGAUCUGUAGCGGGUCUGAGAGGAUGAUCCGCCACACUGGGACUGAGACACGACCCAGACUCCUACGGGAGGCAGCAGUGGGGAAUAUUGGACAAUGGGCGGAAGCCUGAUCCAGCCAUGCCGCGUGUGUGAAGAAGGCCUUUUGGUUGUAAAGCACUUUAAGCGAGGAGGAGGCUACCUGGAUUAAUACUCUGGGAUAGUGGACGUUACUCGCAGAAUAAGCACCGGCUAACUCUGUGCCAGCAGCCGCAGUAAGAC
rnacentral:rRNA from 1 species